rnacentral:misc_RNA from 1 species
CGCGACUCUACUGUUGAAACUGGUCACUCGGCCGAUCAAUCUUCGCAUCAAGAUCGCAAAGAGACACGCGAUAACGCGAGGAAAAAGGUUGGAAAAGAAGCGUCUCUCGUUGGACCGGUUAGAGGAACCGACCGAGAAACGCGGCAAUCGAAUCGUGUCACCAGGAGAUCGCAAUGUCAGCCGUGCGCAAAGAGGCAAGUUUUUCAUUUCCACAUCGGAGGUGGUCAGCCGUGAGCGAUGUCGCUUAAAGCACCGUUCACAUCUACCACGAUCCUGUCCCACACUGUACAGAUCUUCCAAUAACCUUGGAACUUGGCGAAACGAUCUCCUAAAAACAUUGCACUGUAAAACAUCGUGACGAGACCUCCCAACAACCAACAACGACGACAUAAUCGAAUUCGUGCAGCUCGCUCGGAAAACAAGAAACGAAUGUGCAACAAGGUGCGAAUAAGAAGCGAUAGAGGGCACGAAGUAUUUGAAUCGAACGUUAAACGCCUCAUAAUGCGAUAAGGCCGAUGCUCACGGGGCAAAAGCAGGGCAACGGCCAUCGUGAAAAGUCACGGUCUAUCGUGUAGAUGGUCGCGACGUGGAUCGUGACCUAAUCUCGUUUCAAAGCGAAGGGCGUAACCGUGGCGCGGAUCCAGCAAAGUCAGAGGGAAGAGGCAUUAAAGAAGUUGGUCCCGCGGCGACGACCACCUGUACCGAAACAGGUUCAGCCAUUUACGGAUCCCCCCCAGGCGAAUUCUGACGUUCCAUCGAGACAGCUUGGCGACGUGCUCGCCUCGUCCGCGAGUAACGCUGUCCAAAUCUGC